UCUACGACAAUGGAGAGGGAAUUUAGGGAUAGUGGUUGAAGAUCACCAAACUCACUACUCUCUCGAGCUCUCUCUUUAAGGCUGGAGGAGCACGGCUGCUGUUUGAGAAAGAUUUAGCUGCUACACUAUUUUAUUGCUUUAUUUUGUUUCUUUCCAUCUACUGUUGCAUUGGGAUUAUUUUCCAAAAUUCUACACUUUAAUUUAGUUUCCAUAGUUUUAAUGCUCUAGUAUUUUGGAUGAUUGUUGAAUGUUCUGAUACACUACAUAUAUUCAAUCAUGUAGUUGAUAUGCUGGGAUUUAGUUGUAGCAUUUCUCUAGUCAGCUUAAUAGCCUUUGGAGUCCAAAAAUUGUGCUGAAUUGUUCUUGAUUUACAUUCUCAUAUGCAAUGCUUUCUUUUAAUCAGUAGUUUGACCUUAAUAUUUUAGUGGCCAUCUUUGGAAAAGUAGAUAAGUUUUAUGUAGUAUUUCGUGUUCUGUUUGUUAGGUCCACGUAGGUGUUAAUUUGCUUCCAAGCCCUCAAACUAAUUAGCUUUUAGUUAAAAAUGUCUACUGCUCUAGUUUCAAAAGUAAGAGUUAGAUUUCAUGUUUUAAUUUAGAGGGCAAAAUGCAGUUUUGAAUUUUACUUUAAAUUCACGUCAUUCAAGUGAAAGUCAAGUUUUGUUGUUGGCCUUGUUUUCUCAAUUUUUGUUGGAGCUUGAAGCUAUAGUUCUCAUGGCAGUUCUUGGCAGAUGGUUAGUUAUAGGUAGAACUUUCCCGAAUUUAGUAGUCAAAUAGUUCCAAAUCUUGUCUAUUUUCUAGCUACAAAAAUCAGAUUCUCUUUCCAGUUUAAACCAAGACUUCUCUGCAAUGUUAGCAAACUCAUGUUUACAAAAUAUUAUCAAGCAUCUCUCGGCCGCAGGUAGUUUAGGUUAAGUUUAAGCUCAUGUUUAGAGAUCAAGUUUCCCACUUUAGUAUUUAGGUCCAUGUUCAAGUGCUUAAUGCGUGGUUGCUAACACCAACCCCGUGUCGUAGAAACGAUCUCGAGUAGGUCCCUAGUUUCUGUGGUUCGACCCCGCUCUUGCCGUUUAUACGUUGUAAUAUUAGCUACAAAAGUGGGAAACUAUAAAUCUUGUUGAAGGAGGGACACGUGCACACGACACACGUGCAAAAACACCUGUCUUCAAAUGGCGCCGUUGUCGGGGACUACGAUGUUAUCUACUUGAUUUUGUUUCUAUGACACUAUAAAUAGCUUUUGACUUUCUUUAAUUUUCUGUUUUUGAGCGUUUUCUUUUGUUUAGGAAGUGCUUCUUAUCCAAGGUGUUUCAAAGGUUGAAAAGACUAUGACUAGAAUGAAGAAGGAAAGCUCUCCAAUCACAUGUGGCUUAAGGAAGCCUAUGGGGUGAACAAGUCCAGGGAGUUUUCUUGUUUCCCAUUUUAUGUUCAUUGGUUGGAUUUAUAUAGUAUUUGGAUAUUUUAGAAGCUCAUUUUGUAAAUACUUUUAGUCAAUUUUUUGUUUCUUGUGAAUAUUUUUCUAUGAAAAUAAAAAAAAUUUAAAUUUUAGAAAUUUACAAAAAGAUUUUCGAUUUUUGUAAAUACAUCUUUCUAACUAAGUGUACUUCAAAUUUUAUUCUUAAAAAAAUCCAAAAAAGCUCUAAAACAAAAAAUAAAAAAAAGAAAAGAAAUGUUAGGACUCUUGUUUGUAUAUACCUUUUUUUUCAAAAGUUUACUUUAGUAAGUUUUCUUUGAUCCUUUAUUUUGGUUUGGGCAACUGUUUGUAUCUAGGAUAAUGUGUGCUUACAAAUUGGAAAUAACUAUGACAGAGGAGAAGAAGAGAGGCAUGGAAAUCUUAAGUGGCUGAAAGAAGCCUUUGGAGAGCACAAGUCCAUGAAAAUGCCAAAAGAGUAGAAGAAGGAGAUUAAAUGAGAGGGUUGUCUUGGAUACGAAAAAUUGAGGUGCAGGGGAGUAAGAUGAUAAAGCAGAAGUUGGAGGAGGAGAAAUCCACCAAGGCUGCAGAGGAGCCAGCUAAAUCUAAAGAGGACAAGAAGACUGCGGCCUCAAGCCAGCUGACUCCGAACCAGCUACCUCCGAGCCAAGAGAGAGAGCCCAUACCUGACCCUAGACCACACUUCCUGAGGAUGGUGUGAUUAAAAUGGCUGCAACAGCACAACAUGCUGCCCACUCAAGGAAAAGAGGUUGAACUGCCCAAUCCAUGAUAUGCCUAAGACGAAACGUGCAGAAGCUGCCCUGCCUAGCUCACCCGGUGACCCCCUUCCCUUUCUUUUAUUUUAUGUUUUGUCUAUUGGUUAGUGUUUGGAGUUUUCUUCCACACUAAGCCCCAACUUGCUAACAAGCAAGUAAGGCCUUAGUGUGAGGAGGGCCUUUGUGUCUUUGUGUUUUUGAGUUGUUUGUUUAUUUUGCGUUUAUUUGCCUGGUUGUUUUAGUAGCAAGUCGAGCAUGCCCUAAGUGUACCUACCUGAUUCUCCCCACUUUCGGAGAUGAAUAAUUUAUGCUUUUGUUUGGUGAGUUCAAUUUUAAUUACAUGAUUCUGGUUAAGUGAUUUAAGAACGAUGGAAUAUUGAAUUUGAGUUGGAUGGAUGCCACAUAAUGUGAGAUUUGAGCCUUGAUGAUAAACACUCUCUAAUUUCUUCUGAGCGACUUUAUUUUCGUUGAUUCUUUAUAUGGUGUGGUCAAUAUUUGAAAGUCAUAGAGGACAUUUAGGAUAGGCACUUUGAGCCUUAUUUUCUUUGAUUAUCUACCUUGGUAUCUUAUCCACAGUGAGCCAUUUUGAAGCUUGAGACCUAUUCUUUCUCAUGAGUCAGAAGAUUUCCAACCUAAGCUUCAUUUUAGACUUCAUUUUAGCCUCCGUCAACAUAUCUUUUUGCACUUACUAGAAUCCAUCUUGUACACAUGUUUAUGGUCCAAGUUAAAUGCAAUGCUUCGAGCUUAUGAAACAAAAGAGGGAGAAUCAAUGAAGGAAAACGUAAAAGGCAAGUACUAAUGCAAAGAAAAAAAAUGAAACUGAAUGAAGAAUGAAAAAAAGGGAGCAGAAUGAAAAAAAGAUAAUGAGAAGGAAAGAAUGAAGAAGAGAGAAUGAGAGGAAAAGAAAGUGAAGCUUGGAAGUGAAGGGCAAUAGUCGAAUAGUUAGAAAAAAAAUAGAGAAACUGAUCAAGAAAAGAAGUGAAACAGAAACAAGAAGAGGAAUGAAAAAGAAAAAGCAUAAUGAAGAAAGAAAAUUAGAAGAGAAGAAAAGAAAGAAUGGGAGAAGGCAGAAAGGAUGGAGAUAGAAAAUGAAGAUAAGAAGAUGACACCCCUCACUUAAAGCAUGCAAUGCAUUAUUUAUUUUAUCUGAAACACAUUGUAAGUGCUUGAUGGUUUUUGGUAAGUGCAACUUCUAAUUUGUCAAUGCAUGAUGUGAUUUUCAUUUCUUAAAGCUUAGGACCCCUAGGCCCUUACGUACAUAUCUAUUAACCCCUGAGCCCCAUUAUGUCGAAAAUGAAAGUCCCUAUUGAGCUGCAAGGUUUGACCACAUCUUAUUGAGAUGAAAUGCUUAUUCUUUUGUUGAGUGAAAAUUUCAAAUUGAGAGUUGUAAGUUGAGUGAACCAGAACAUUCUGACUCAAGUUUAAUUUCUUGACUUUGUGACAAUUGGAGUCAUGAGUUGUGAUUGGAUUGAAUGACUUUUUUACGGGAUCUUAGGAUUGUGGGAGAAUCUGUAGAAGAGGACCAAUGGGCUGCUUGACUUGUUUCGUGUGCCUUAGUUUGUUCUCUUUGUUUAUUUUCUUGUGUUUCUUUUUUCUCGUUGUGUUUUUUUUGUUAGUUAGUUGAGGGGUCAUGUGCAAUAAAUGCUUACUCUUAUCCUUUUCUUUUUUCUACAUGCUUGAGGACAAGCAUACUUCUAGUGUGAGGAGGCUUGAUCGCUUGUAUUUUUUGCACUUUAUUUUGGAUCAUUUUGAGCUUAAAUUGGAUUUGAUAUACACUUUUUUUAUGUUUUGGUGUAGAAAAUUAGAGAAAUAGAAGUGGAGGCAUAUGGGAGAGCAAUGAUAGAUAAAUGUGGAGCAAAAAAGCAUAAAAAGGACAAAUCUAGAGGCUAAAAGAUGGAGGGUGAGAAGAGUAUAUUGGAGAAAAUUAAUUUGACCUAGCUAAGAAAUCAGCCGCCACAUAUAAGAAGAGAGAGAGGGGAUUCACCCUACACAUUCACGAGGCUGCUCAAUUUUCUACGACAAUGGAGAGGGAAUUUAGGGAUAAUGGUUGAAGAUCACCAAAUUCACUACUCUCUCGUGCUCUCUCUUUAAAGCUGGAGGAGCACGGCUGCUGUUUGAGAAAGAUUUAGCUGCUACACUAUUUUAUUGCUUUAUUUUGUUUCUUUCCAUCUAAUGUUGCAUUGGGAUUAUUUUCCAAAAUUCUACACUUUAAUUUAGUUUCCAUAGUUUUAAUGCUCUAGUAUUUUGGAUGAUUGUUGAAUGUUCUGAUACACUACAUAUAUUCAAUCGUGUAGUUGAUAUGCUGGGAUUUAGUUGUAGCAUUUCUCUAGUCA